rnacentral:rRNA from 1 species
UACGUAGGUGGCAAGCGUUGUCCGGAUUUACUGGGUGUAAAGGGCGUGCAGCCGGAGAGACAAGUCAGAUGUGAAAUCCACGGGCUCAACCCGUGAACUGCAUUUGAAACUGUUUCCCUUGAGUGUCGGAGAGGUAAUCGGAAUUCCUAGUGUAGCGGUGAAAUGCGUAGAUAUUAGGAGGAACACCAGUGGCGAAGGCGGCCUGCUGGGCUUUUACUGACGCUGAGGCUCGAAAGCGUGGGUAGCAAACAGG